UACAGAGGUCUCAACCGUUGUUCGGAUUCAUUGGGCGUAAAGGGUGCGUAGGCGGUCCAUCGCGUCGGGAGUGAAAAGCUGGGGCUCAACCCCAGUCCUGCUUCCGAUACGGGUGGACUAGAGGUAUGCAGGGGAGAACGGAAUUCCUGGUGUAGCGGUGAAAUGCGCAGAGUAUCAGGAGGAACACCGGUGGCGAAGGCGGUUCUCUGGGCAUUACCUGACGCUGAGGAGCGAAAGCGUGGGGAGCAAACAGG
rnacentral:rRNA from 1 species